rnacentral:rRNA from 1 species
GACGAACGCUGGCGGCGUGCCUAACACAUGCAAGUCGAGCGGAGGUACUUGAGGAGUAAUCUGAGGGUACUUUAGCGGCGGACGGGUGAGUAACGCGUGAGCAACCUGCCUUUCACAGGGGGAUAAGGCGGCGAAAGCCGCUCUAAUACCGCAUGAGACCACGGUAUGAUGUACCAGGGGUCAAAGGAGCAAUCCGGUGAAAGAUGGGCUCGCGUCCGAUUAGGUAGUUGGUGGGGUAAAGGCUCACCAAGCCAAUGAUCGGUAGCCGGCCUGAGAGGGGGAACGGCAACAUUGGAACUGAGAGACGGUCCAAACUCCUACGGGAGGCAGCAGUGGGGAAUAUUGGGCAAUGGGGGAAACCCUGACCCAGCAACGCCGCGUGAGGGAAGAAGGUUUUCGGAUUGUAAACCUCUGUUCUUGGGGAAGAGAAGAAGACGGUACCCAAGGAGGAAGCCCCGGCUAACUACGUGCCAGCAGCCGCCGUAACAC